rnacentral:rRNA from 1 species
UGCUGUGUGCGUGCUGCACUGCUGACUUUGCAUGAAUUUGUAUGGUCUUGGCGGAGCGGCGGGUGCUGAUGCGACCGACUGACUUCUUUUUUUCAAACCCCAUACAUAACUUACUGAUUAUACUGUGAGAACGAAAGUUCUUGCUUUUACUAGAUAACAACUUUCAGCAGUGGAUGUCUAGGCUCGCACAUCGAUGAAGAACGCUGCGAACUGCGAUACGUAAUGCGAAUUGCAGAAUUCAGUGAGUCAUCGAAAUUUUGAACGCAUAUUGCACUUCCGGGUUAUACCUGGAAGUAUGUCUGUAUCAGUGUCCGUAAAUCAAACUUGCGUUUCUUCCUUCCGUGUAGUCGGUGGAGGAGAGUUGCAGAUGUGAAGUGUCUCGCAGUGGUUGGUAUAAGCAUCUAUUUGUUUAUGCACAAGUUGCGAGUCCUUUUAAAUGGACACGACUUUCUCUUUUUUGUAUCUGCGCGGUGCUGUGCGUGAACGCGGCGGUUUUCGGAUCGCUCGCGGCUGUCGGCGACUUCGGUGAAUGCAUUAUGGAGUGGACCUCGAUUCGCGGUAUGUUGGGCUUCGGCUGGACAAUGUUGCUUAUUGUGUGUCUGUUCCGCGUUCGCCUUGAGGUGUACUGGUGGCUGUGGGUUUGAACUGGUUUCUGUUGUUGGUAGUGCGCGAGUCCAUGUCGUGGGAUGCAUCUGUUUUUUUUGCGUGCACUUCUUUGUGGGCAAUUGACAGAAGAGGAGUCUCAAUUUGGGAAAUYUGUUCUCCGGGUUGAUCCUGCGUGUAUAUCUCAAUGG